rnacentral:lncRNA from 1 species
CUCUGAUGGAGGCGGCUCUGCAGCUGGAAUCGCGGACGUUUGUGCAAGGACCGAAGCACUGGGAAAGGCCGGGCUUGGACUCGGGUUAUGGCUCCAGCAUCCACCGACGUCCGCAGCGUCUGCUGGACUCGCCCAAUAGCCCCGCAGCGGCCGCGCUCGCAGACGCAUCCGGCUGCAGCCUCCUGCAGGAGGAUGAGGAGUCGGUGCGACAGGGACGGGCGGCUUCCCCGGAACAGCGAGGCGCAGCGACAGACUCGGAGCCCCCAGCGUCUGCCUGUGCGCCGGUGAAGCGCACUUGCGGUCAGUUCUCCAACAUCGUCUGGAAAGUAAUAGCUGGUGCCGCUGUGGCUGUGGUUGAGGCUGUGGUUAUUUUGACAGGAACUUUCUCUCCAAAGGUCAGGCAGUGUCCAGAAGAAUGGAUAUGUUUUGGAGGGAACGGGUAUUCUUUUUCCACCGAUACAAAGAGCUGGGAUGACAGUAAGGAGUACUGCGCCUCACAUGGCGCAACGCUUCCUAUGAUAAAAGAGAAACUGCAACUGGAUAUAAAUAAUUCCAGUUGAAAUCAAUGACUUAUGGGACAAUCGGGGCUCAGAGUGGAGCCACUAAUAAUGGAAUGAACAUAAAAAAGAAAGUGGAGACUGAAUAUGAGGAUAUGGGGUAUAACAGGAUAUGAAGUAGUUUUUCCCCAAGGGAAAUGAUGGCAACCUCAUUGCUUGGGAACCUCAAAACUAAAGUUGACAAAACACUAGAAAAUGAACUGUAGGGAAUAGUCCUUCACUGACUCUUUGGAGAUGCAGUAAAUGACCUAAUAGUGUUAUGGGAUCAGUCAACCAAGAAACUCUGUUUAUUUAAAGGGUGAGUGCCUGCUGAAAAACUGUUCUUAAAUACAUGGAAAAGCCCAGUGGCUAUCUCCUUCCCAUCCAUGGGUGAUAAAAUGACAAUCAGGCCUUGGCUACACUGAAGAGUUGCAGCGCUGGUAGUGGCUUUACAGUGCUGCAAUUUACUCCCCGUCCACACUGACAAGGAACAUACAGCACUGUAUCUCCCUGGCUACAGCACCGGUUGUACUGCACAUGGACGAG